rnacentral:lncRNA from 1 species
GAGCUGGGUCACCUACUAAGAUUAAACCAUGACACUAUGGCAGGCCAACUUACUAGCUUUCAAGUAAGGUAACAUCUCAGACCAUCACAGGUUUUGACAGGGGAAACUCUGAAGGACCACAGGAGUUGGAGGUUCCACGUAUCUCUAAGUAGUAACAUACAAUGGGUCCAAAACAGAAGAAAGAGAACUCAAGAUUCCCGAGCCACACAGCUGUGGAUUGGAGGCUGACUCAGAGAGACCCUGGAUUCAGUGACAUACAGAGAUAACAGGGACUUAAUCGCCUUCUGGACAAACAUAAUCUAUGCGACCUCCUCCCCAAAAGGUGCCAUAAGCAAAGUGAGCGGUUUGGAGAGAACACUGUACAUGACUUCCUGACUACAAUGGCCUGUGGCUGAUGAAGUACAGCACUUUGGUGGAAACAGGUACAGGAUCAGUAUGGGUUUUAAUUGAGGGGCUCGGCACCAAAUGACAGACUUGACACAUCCACCCCCACCAUGGAUGCUGUCCGUCCACUGUUGCACAAUGUCCUUCAGUGUCUAAUUUACAGAUCCAGCUGUAUUUCCCCUUCCACCUGCAUCCCUGAAGUUCCUCCCACCUGAAAACUUCACCUGACCCAAGAAAGCAAAGGAAAAAACCCGGAGAGCCAGCUCAUGGUCUGGUUCACUGUUUAACAGCCAGAAGCCAGAGCCUGCGUACUAGAAGUGGAUGCCCAGGAAGUACUUGUGAGCUGACUAAGAAUGUAAGAACGCCACCCACUUCAUUCAGGAAAGUGAGGCAGGAUUCCAUGCAGUGUGAAUGACUGCACAUGGAACAAGCAGGUUAUCAUUUAUAUUCAGCAAGGGACCUCCAUGGACAGGACAUUUGGGGAGCUGCUAUCAAACAUCAGAACUUCUGACACUGUGCACACAGUCUUAUAUUGUGCCUUGUCUGUGGUGAUGUCUCACUACAGUAAUGAUUAAGAUGAUGAGCACUUAUGCGUUGAUAUUGCAAUAUGUCUGCGUAAGAACUAUCGCUAAGGCAGGUUAUAUUAUUACCCUCAGUGUAUAGGUAAGGAGGUUAGACUGAUAACUUACCCAGUGUCACAUAGGUAGUAAUGGCCAAACUAGAAUUGGAACCUGUCUGCCUACUCUUCCAAGCUCAGGAUUGACUUGAGCACAAGGGUAAGUAUCUCACAUGCUUUGUAAAGUUCAGGUUGAUAACAAAAUAUGUGAAAGGCAGGGGUAUAAACAACAGGGGGCAUAUGAAAUACGGGAAGAGCCUAAAGAAAUUCAAGUCUAUUAUUUUUAAUCCACUGCUGUCAAAUGACAAACGAUUACUGGCUUUUCUUCAGCUUAUGAUUCCUGUAUUCGAAUCCUGAAAAACUUACAUUUCAUAUAUUACCAACUAUUAUGGGGAAAACUAUCACAUGGGAAUAAAACUCCAGUGCCCUAAGGAUUUGUUUAACGCUAGAUAAAUCUUAUGAGUUUGCAAACUAUAAUUUUUAAAAAGAAUUCAGUCUUUUUCUUCUCCCAAAUAUAAGUUUCCAAUCUUCCAUUC